rnacentral:rRNA from 1 species
UACGGAGGGGGCGAGCGUUAUUCGGAAUUAUUGGGCGUAAGGGCGCGUAGGCGGCUGAACAAGUCAAAGGUGAAAUCCCUCGGCUCAACUGAGGAACUGCCUUUGAAACUGUUCGGCUUGAGGCCGGGAGGGGGUAGCGGAAUUCCCAGUGUAGCGGUGAAAUGCGUAGAUAUUGGGAGGAACACCAGUGGCGAAGGCGGCUACCUG